AUGCAAAAAUUUGAAAAAAAAAAAAAUUGUAAACAUAUGAUUACAUGAUAUUACCUUCUUAGUUCUACCAUGAACUGUACCUUAUUUGGUAUAAGUUGGUCUUUUGGUGAGCAGAUAGAGCUGAAAAUUUGAAAUUUUAGUAUUGGAGUCACUGCUGCUGAAUAGGGUUGAAAUAAAAAGAUGAUUUUGGGAAUUCGUGUGCGAAAAAGGACCAAGAGGUACUAAAUUUGAUAUUGAGUAAACGAUUACUGUUUGAAAUCUGAAAUUUGGCAUCAAGGUAACGGUGUAGGGCUGAAAUCUGGAGGAAAUAAAACUGAAAAUCGGAAUUUCGGUAUGAGGGUCGUCGAUGUUGUGAAGGAUAAAUUAA